AAAAAAACGUUCCUAAAUGAAUAUGAAAACUUUGCUAUGUGUAGACUAAUUAUGAAUUUAUAUUUUUUUAAAAAUUGUUCAAGCAUUUUCAUUCAUAUUCCUAGGGUUCAUUUUUGUGUUCUCAAUUGAAAAACAAUUCUUUCAUGUUAACGUCUUGAUUAGUUGAGAUAUAGAGAAACUGAGUAACCUGUUUAUGCAUACAGUUUGUAUUAAUUUUUAAUAAAAGAUGAAAAAUAAAGAGAAAAUGAGGGGGAGAAGG
rnacentral:misc_RNA from 1 species